AAUAGAUACCCCGGUAGUCCACGCCGUAAACGAUGAGUGCUAAGUGUUAGAGGGUUUCCGCCCUUUAGUGCUGCAGCUAACGCAUUAAGCACUCCGCCUGGGGAGUACGGCCGCAAGGCUGAAACUCAAAGGAAUUGACGGGGGCCCGCACAAGCGGUGGAGCAUGUGGUUUAAUUCGAAGCAACGCGAAGAACCUUACCAGGUCUUGACAUCCUCUGCCAACCCUAGAGAUAGGGCGUUCCCCUUCGGGGGACAGAGUGACAGGUGGUGCAUGGUUGUCGUCAGCUCGUGUCGUGAGAUGUUGGGUUAAGUCCCGCAACGAGCGCAACCCUUGAUCUUAGUUGCCAGCAUUCAGUUGGGCACUCUAAGGUGACUGCCGGUGACAAACCGGAGGAAGGUGGGGAUGACGUCAAAUCAUCAUGCCCCUUAUGACCUGGGCUACACACGUGCUACAAUGGAUGGUACAAAGAGCUGCGAACCCGUGAGGGUAAGCGAAUCUCAUAAAGCCAUUCUCAGUUCGGAUUGUAGG
rnacentral:rRNA from 1 species